rnacentral:tRNA from 1 species
AAGGGAGACCUAAUUCCGGUAGGAGACGAAAAAAAAGUAGUCCCUACCAAGAAUCAAUCCCAAAAGGUCGAGGCGAGGCAAGAUUGGCUUUCAAACUAGGUUCUGGGUUCAAACAAGACCUGAAUCAGGAACAAGGGCUAUUAGCUCAGGUGGUUAGAGCGCACCCCUGAUAAGGGUGAGGUCCCUGGUUCGAGUCCAGGAUGGCCCACCUGCACAGGUGGCAAAAACAAAGAAGCGAGGAAUCAGCACCUUAUCUUACUCAUAUAGUAAGAGAGAAUGCUGGCUCUGAGUAAAGAGUCCAGAGGAACCUUGAAAACUGCAUAGAGCUAGGUGAAAAAGCCAAAAAAGAAGACCGCAA